GGGCGGGUCCCCGGGGGGGGUCCCCGGGCCGGCGCCCCGCCUCGGCCGGCGCCUAGCAGCCGGCUUAGAACUGGUGCGGACCAGGGGAAUCCGACUGUUUAAUUAAAACAAAGCAUCGCGAAGGCCCGCGGCGGGUGUUGACGCGAUGUGAUUUCUGCCCAGUGCUCUGAAUGUCAAAGUGAAGAAAUUCAAUGAAGUGCGGGCAAACAGCGGGCGUAACUAUGACUCUCCGUUUGAAGCCAAGCGGAGAAAAUGGCGGCGGCGCCGGGCGCGGCUCCGCUGUCCC
rnacentral:ncRNA from 1 species